rnacentral:rRNA from 1 species
GUUAGGAAUAUUGGACAAUGGGCGCAAGCCUGAUCCAGCCAUGCCGCGUGAACGAUGAAGGCCUUCGGGUUGUAAAGUUCUUUAGCCGAUGAUUAUAAUGACUGUAGUCGGAAAAUAAGCCCCGGCUAACUUCGUGCCAGCAGCCGCGGUAAUACGAAGGGGGCGAGCGUUAUUCGGAAUCACUGGGCGUAAAGCGUGCGUAGGCGGUCUCGUAAGUUAGGAGUGAAAGCCCAGGGCGCAACCUUGGAAUUGCUCUUAAAACUGCAAGGCUAGAAUCUCGGAGAGGAUAGCGGAAUUUCCAGUGUAGCAGUGAAAUGCGUAGAUAUUGGAAGGAACACCAGUGGCGUAAGCGGCUAUCUGGACGAGUAUUGACGCUGAGGCACGAAAGCGUGGGGAUCAAACAGGAUUAGAUACCCCGGUAGUCC